UGGUCAUUUCUGUUUAAGAUUCUGUUGGUCAAAACUGCUAUCUAGGCAGUUGCCAGUCCUUCAGGAUUUCCAAGCAGAAACCAUAAUGAGUAUUAAAAAUCAGUGGGCUGGGAGCUCUAAGUCCCCAAACACCUUCACAGUCAACCAUGUGAUGUUUCUGAUUGACAACCCAGAAGCAGGGGUAAACUGCGGGGGUCCGCCGGACCAGAGCAGAUUGCAGCCAGGCUGGCCUUCCUGAAAGAUACACACACGUCUCCCCGGACCCUGGGAGCCCCUGCUCCCCCGACUGUUUAUGUUUGCUAUCACACACUGAGCAAUCAUGCGGUACACUUCACAGUCAGCAAGUUUAUCUUGAGUUAAAGUUUGACCAAGUUGUGUUUACCCCCGUUCUACAGCAAGUCAUGUGCAAACAGCACCUGUGAACAUUUCUCAGCACACAUUCUGUACCCGCUCCAUGGUUCUCAUGGCAAUGAAUGUUGCGGGGAAAGCCGGCAAGUGUCAAAUCUUUGGCAAAUGUUAGAAUCCUCUCCGGAAAUGAUUCACAAUUACUGCCAUCAGGGUGCAUGGGUAAUGACCAUCUUUGUCAUUAGCACACAUUCUCUCUUCCCCAGAAUGCAAACUCAACCCAGUAACCCCUCUACUAAACAGAUUAGGAACUCUGAAUGCUGUGAUAAAUAUUUUCUCACUGUAAUCAGAAUAAUCGACACUUAUUUUUUUUUUAAUUGUUAGAAUUUAAAAGGAUUUUUAUAGACUGGAUUUCACAAUACUUUCCAACUGUUGUAUUUCACAUUUAUGCAUUGGUCACAAUGUGUUAAGCACUAUUGUAAGUGCUUUCAAACAUUAUUAAUUCCUUUAUUCCUCCUAACAACUUUGUGAGGUAAGUACAAUUACCCCAUUUUACAGAUCUGCAAACUGAGGCACAAAGAGAUUCAGUAAUUUGUCCAAGGUUACAUACAUUGCUAGUAAGUGGUAGAGCCAGUGAGUUGAACCCAGGCCCAGACGAAAGCAAGUAUAUACCCAUUUUCCAUGCUGCCUUACUAUGUAAAUGUAAGUAUUGGUAAUACUGUCUCUUUUUUUCCAAAUAAAUUGAAGCUGAUUUUUUAAAUAUUUACUAUAUUAGUUUGCUAGGGCUACUAUAACAAAGUACCCUAGACUGAGUGGCUUAAACAAUAGAAAUUUAUUUUCUCACAAUUCUGGAGGCUAGAUGUCUGAGAUCAAGGUGCCGUCAGGGUUGGUUUCUCUUGAGGCCUUUCUCUUUGCCUUAUAGAUGGCCACCUUCACCAGUUCACCUUACACAGUCUUCACCCUGAGUGCAUCUGUAUUGUAAUUUCCUCUUGUUAACAAACACCAGUCAUAUAGGAUUCGGGCUCACAGUAAUGACCUCAUUUGAACUUAAUUACCUCUUUGAGACCCCGUCUCCAAAUAGAGUCCCAUUCUGAGGUUAGUGGGAUUAGGGGUUCAACAUAUGAAUUUAGGGGGACAUAAUUCACUAUAACAUCUACCACAUGGUCAUAAUGUGCUGGCUACUAUAUGAAAUGUCAAAAUGUUGAGCUCCAAGUUCUUUAAGAAGGCACAGUAUUCAUCGUGGACAUUUAUUUGAAUGACAAAGUGGACACGGCUCUUGUUUCUUUCCUAGAUGGUUGACUUGACCAUGUUCUCCAAUUUGAAGUGGGUACUAUGACCGAGGCAUAGUGCUUGCCAUUGUUUCACCUUGACUUCCUCACUUUGUACACCAAGGGUUAUGCAUGCCAUGAUUGAGGAACUGCCUGUGUUCUACCCUUCAAUGAAUGGAUAGAAAUGUAGAUCCAGAAAAGAAAAAUGUGCCCUUAAGUUCCUCAAUAUUUUGGGAAAUUGCCAAGUGGUUACUGUAGUAGAUUACAGUAUUGUUUGCAAUUAUUUGUCCUUUCUCCUUUAAAAGGAUUAUACAUCCCUGCCUUAGACCACUUAUAGGUAAGUGUACUUCCCUGUCCCUAUCAGACUUGGUCAUGUGAUUUUCAUCCACCAAUGACAUAUGAGUAGACAAGGUACAUGCCACUUAGGAGCAGAAGCUUUAAAUGUGAUCGUGUGGUUCCACUUGGUCUCUUGCUCUUCUGUCCUCUUCCAAGAGAAAAGUAUUUUCCAGAUAGGAGCUGCUCCUUCAGCUGUAUCCUGGGAUGAUGAAACACAUGGGACAGAGCCAUAGCAGACUCAUAGCCUACAUGUAUCAUGAGCAGGAAAUACAUUGAUGAUCUAACUACUGAGAUUUUGGGGGAUUGUUUGUUAUGCAGUGAAGCUGACUAAUACAGUUACACAAGAUUUUGCUGAGAUUUGCACAGAUAAAACAAGGGAGGAUGUGAGUGCAAGAAGAUGUUAUACUUCACAGUAAGGGCUAGUUUCUAAACAUGAAAGAACACAUAGCUUAUGUAACAUGACAUUUGUUGGAGAAUAUGCUCUAGAAAAUCAUGAUAUCACAGAUAUAUACUAAAUAUCUGAAGGAGAUUAAGGAGAAAACAUUUCCAGCAGAGGAGUUCUUUAAUAUAGACAGAGCUUGUUUCAGAAUUGGUAUCUUCCUGAAUAUUUGGCUGCUUGGAAAAAGUUAUGUUGGUGCCGGGGUUCAGCCCUCGCCUGGACAGAGGUGGCCACUAGAGUCAUUAGCAUGGACAUUGGCACCAGUGACUACGUAGAUCCCAGGAUCGUAGCCAGGGACCUGGGCUGCCUCCAGGGACCACUUGAGAGGUGCAGAGACUGUGGGCCAGCCCGUCAUUCUUGUCUGAGACAGUGACAUCCUCUCCACUGUGCACAGCUAGCAGAGCUCUGAAAUGAAUGGCUUCAUUUAAUCACAAAAGAAGGAAUACCAGCAAGACCACCCAGGCCCCAGCUCCAGUUUUUCCUAAAGAAUUUGGCCGCAUCUCCCUUUUUGAAGGCAGAGUUUCAUCUUGCCCCAGCCAGAAGCAACUUCCUGGGCAUGCGCGUUAAGAGACAAAAAAUGGUGACGUUUGUCGACCACUCCACCAGAAAAGGGAAGAAAGCCUGAGACGGGCCUGCGUGGAGCUCCCUAAACACACUGCGCAUGCUCCAUCCCAAAGCGUACCGCGAGCACUGCGCAUGCAGGAAACCCACCCUGUAAGGGAAGAAUCCUGGGGAAGAGGCGAGUCUAUGAAGUCCCAGGAUCAAGGUUAAAGACCCUCUUUUUUUACUGUCUUCUUGUGGUCUCUUUUCUCUCUUGGACCUUCAGGCGCCUGCGUGGGUCUCUUUCAAGGGAAUUUUCCUUUCUUUCCUGUUCUAAAGCCUUUUAACUAAACUUCCACUCCUGCUCUGAAACUUGCUCGGUCUCUUUUUCUGCCUUACGCCCCUCCGUCGAAUUCUUUCAUCUGAGGAGGCAAGGACUGCAGUUGCUGUGGACCCAUAGGGAUUCGCCCUUGGUAACGCCCUUGGUAACUUACACUGCUGACAUAUGUAGUAGCAAGUCCUGUCUUCGGGUUGGCAGGCACCACGGCUGACACUACAUGCUCAGAGAGAGGGGAAAGACCAAGAAGUGACUCAUGACAUCACCCUCGUCUCUGGAAGACAAGAUGUUGGUCUCGUCAGGUGCCCUGCAGUCUUCAGUGUUGGCUGCAGCCAGAGCCCCAGCAAUGCAGACCAGGAUGAGGGAAAGCCGCUGGAAGAGGCCUACAGCAUUUUUUAUUAGUAAAUCCAGAGAACGUGUUAUAUAAAGUGUAAGACAAUCACCA